rnacentral:rRNA from 1 species
AUGGGGCUAUUGAUUCAAGCUUUGUUGGACAAGUACAAUGAGGAGAAUAAUCUUUUGGGGGAUGAUGCAUAUAAUGUUGAAAAUGUCGUGAGCUUCCAAGAAGUUUAUGAGGGCAAAGGUGGCUGGUACUAUCAUCUGAAUUGUACUAGAAAGACUAAAGGUGGCGUCGACAAUCUCUUCUUUGCCGAAGUCUUGAGAAUGAAUAGAGGACUACAAUUCAAGCUCACCUGUCUCCAUAUGGUUAAACCUGCUGUUGAUAACGGUACAUGCUAUGGUUGUAAAAAAACCAAUGUUAGUAUGAAGCACCCCAUUGACGCUGGUAAAUACAAAGGUGGCCACGAUCCCUUGUGGCCACCACGGCUUUGCGUGGUUCUUCCACCGGAUUUGCCUGAGGGUUUUGAUGCUAAGAUGAAAGCUAUGGAGGAAAGGAUUAGAUAUCAAUUCCAGGACUGA